UAUAUUUUAGUAUAUGAUGUACAUAAGAUUUUGAUUCUUAAAGAAAUAGUUUAAUUCUAUUAAAUAUAACAAGAGUAAU
rnacentral:tRNA from 1 species